rnacentral:rRNA from 1 species
GACGAACGCUGGCGGCGUGCUUAACACAUGCAAGUCGAGCGGUAAGGCCCUUUCGGGGGUACACGAGCGGCGAACGGGUGAGUAACACGUGGGUGACCUGCCCUCAGCUCUGGGAUAAGCCUGGGAAACCGGGUCUAAUACCGGAUAUGACUCCAUGACGCAUGUUGUGGGGUGGAAAGCCUUGUGCGGCUGAGGAUGGGCCCGCGGCCUAUCAGCUUGUUGGUGGGGUGAUGGCCUACCAAGGCGACGACGGGUAGCCGGCCUGAGAGGGCGACCGGCCACACUGGGACUGAGACACGGCCCAGACUCCUACGGGAGGCAGCAGUGGGGAAUUUUGUGCAAUGGGGGAAACCCUGACACAGCGACACCGCGUGAGCGAAGAAGCCCUUUGGGUGUAAAGCUCUGUCAACGGGAACGAAAAAAUGACGGUACCCGUGGAGGAAGCAUCGGCUAACUACGUGCCAGCCGCCGCGGUAAC